rnacentral:lncRNA from 1 species
GAAGGCGGUUCGUGGAUUCGGAUCGUGGGCUCGUGGAUUCGAGUGGCGUCGUGGAUUCAGCGUGAUUAAAGCUUUGUGGAUUCGAAGUGGAGGCGUUCGUGGAUUCGAACGUGAGGGCGUGGACAACCUGGAGGAUUGCGCGAGAUUCAUAGGAUGUUAAGAGAGGUUGAGUCCGUGGAAUCGGUAAUCACCUUGUAAUCUUUUCUCUUAGUGAAUUAUUUUUUCGCGUGUUGGUCCCGUGGGUUUUUCUCCAAGUUGGAGUUUUCCCACGUAAAU